rnacentral:rRNA from 1 species
GGGUUUACCCAUUGGUCAGGCUUAAUUGUCUGCACUGGUGAGAUGGAUCUCUACCUUCUGAGGAACUUUCAUGCCAUUUAUUUGGUGUGAUGGGAAAUCAGGACUGUUACUUUGAAAAAAUUAGAGUGUUUAAAGCAGGCUAACGUCUGAAUACAUUAGCAUGGAAUAAUGAAAUAGGACGGACUGAUUCUAUUUCGUUGGUUUCUAGGAUCACCGUA